rnacentral:rRNA from 1 species
GGCAGAGACGGGUAUGGGGCGUGAGAGCGCGGACCCCCACACUGGCACUGAGAUACGGGCCAGACUCCUACGGGAGGCAGCAGUAAGGGAUAUUGCGCAAUGGACGAAAGUCAGACGCAGCGACGCCGCGUGGGCGAUGAAGGCCUUCGGGUUGUAAAGCCCUUUUAUGGGGGAAGAGAAAAAGGACGGUACCCCAGGAAUAAGUCCCGGCUAACUACGUGCCAGCAGCCGCGGUAAAACGUAGGGGACAAGCGUUAUCCGGAUUCACUGGGCGUAAAGAGCGUUGAGGCGGUUCCGUAAGUUGGGCGUGAAAGCUCCGGGCUUAACUCGGAGAUGUCGUUCAAUGCUGCGGGGCUUGAGGACAGCAGAGGAAGGUGGAAUUCCCGGUGUAGUGGUGAAAUGCGUAGAUAUCGGGAGGAACACCCGUGGCGAAGGCGGCCUUCUGGGCUGUUCCUGACGCUGAAGGCGAAAGCUAGGGGAGCGAACGGGAUUAGAUACCCCGGUAGUCCUAGCUGUAAACGAUGGAUGCUGGGUGUGGGGGGUGUAAAUUCCCUCUGUGCCGAAGCAAACGCGUUAAGCAUCCCGCCUGGGGACUACGGCCGCAAGGCUAAAACUCAAACGAAUUGACGGGGGCCCGCACAAGCAGCGGAGCGUGUGGUUUAAUUCGAUGCUACACGAAGAACCUUACCUGGGUUUGACAUGCACGUGGUAGGGAACCGAAAGGGGACCGACCUUCGGGAGCGUGCACAGGUGCUGCAUGGCUGUCGUCAGCUCGUGCCGUGAGGUGUCGGGUUAAGUCCCGUAACGAGCGCAACCCUUGCCCUUAGUUACAAGUGUCUAAGGGGACUGCCCGGGACAACUGGGAGGAAGGUGGGGAUGACGUCAAGUCAGCAUGGCCUUUAUAUCCAGGGCUACACACACGCUACAAUGGCCGGUACAAUAGGUUGCGAAGUCGUGAGGCGGAGCCAAUCCUCAAAGCCGGUCUCAGUUCGAAUUGCAGUCUGCAACUCGACUGCAUGAAGCUGGAGUUGCUAGUAAUCGCAGGUCAGCUAUACUGCGCUGAUACGUUCCCGGGCAUUGUACACACCGCCCGUCACGUCAUGGAAGCUGGCAACGCCUGAAGCCGGUGAGCUAACCCGAAA